rnacentral:rRNA from 1 species
AUUGAACGCUGGCGGCAUGCCUUACACAUGCAAGUCGAACGGCAGCAUGGAGAGCUUGCUCUCUGAUGGCGAGUGGCGAACGGGUGAGUAAUGCAUCGGAACGUACCGUGUAAUGGGGGAUAACGUAGCGAAAGUUACGCUAAUACCGCAUACGACCUGAGGGUGAAAGCAGGGGAUCGCAAGACCUUGCGUUAUACGAGCGGCCGAUGUCAGAUUAGCUAGUUGGUGAGGUAAAGGCUCACCAAGGCGACGAUCUGUAGCGGGUCUGUGAGGAUGAUCCGCCACACUGGGACUGAGACACGGCCCAGACUCCUACGGGAGGCAGCAGUGGGGAAUUUUGGACAAUGGGGGCAACCCUGAUCCAGCCAUGCCGCGUGAGUGAAGAAGGCCUUCGGGUUGUAAAGCUCUUUCGGCCGGGAAGAAAUCGCACAGGCUAAUACCCUGUGUGGAUGACGGUACCGGCAUAAGAAGCACCGGCUAACUACGUGCCAGCAGCCGCAGUAA